ACAAAGGUACGCUCACUUGCUGUCUUGUUCUCUGCCGCGGACUGGGAUCGCUCGCCAGCUAGGCCCUCUAGAAAAAAGUUGGAGCAACAUUGUAUGAGAACAUAUUACCCAUCUUCGGGGACAAGGGGAGGAACGACCUCUCGAUCUACUUACUGCAGCCCAGGACGGGCGUCGUCGUCUAGGCGUGACUUCUUGUUUUGA
rnacentral:rRNA from 1 species